AACGAACGCUGGCGGCGUGCCUAACACAUGCAAGUCGGACGGACUCAUUUUGAAGUAGCAAUACGGAGAGAUGAGUUAGUGGCGGACGGGUGAGUAACACGUAGGUAACCUACCCUUAAGCGGGGGACAACUCAGGGAAACUUGAGCUAAUACCGCAUAAGACCACGGGCUGAGAUGCCAGUGGGAAAAGGAGCAAUCCACUUAAGGAUGGGCCUGCGGCCUAUCAGGUAGUUGGUGAGGUAACGGCCCACCAAGCCAGAGACGGGUAGCUGGUCUAGGAGGAUGACCAGCCAGAGGGGCACUGAGAUACGGGCCCACUCCUACGGGAGGCAG
rnacentral:rRNA from 1 species